rnacentral:snRNA from 1 species
GUGUUCACUUGGAUAGCACACAUACUAAAAAUUGGAGCAACAUGGAGAAGGUUAGCAUGGUCCCUGGACAAAGAUGACACGCAAAUUCAUAAAGCGUUCCAUAUUUUU